rnacentral:rRNA from 1 species
UACGUAGGGUGCAAGCGUUGUCCGGAAUUAUUGGGCGUAAAGAGCUCGUGGGCGGUCUGUCGCGUCUGCUGUGAAAACCCGGGGCUCAACCCCGGGCUUGCAGUGGAUACGGGCAGACUAGAGUUCGGUAGGGGAGACUGGAAUUCCUGGUGUAGCGGUGAAAUGCGCAGAUAUCAGGAGGAACACCGGUGGCGAAGGCGGGUCUCUGGGCCGAUACUGACGCUGAGGAGCGAAAGCGUGGGGAACGAACAGG